rnacentral:rRNA from 1 species
CCUACGGGAGGCAGCAGUGGGGAAUAUUGCACAAUGGGCGAAAGCCUGAUGCAGCAACGCCGCGUGAAGGAAGAAGGGUUUCGGCUCGUAAACUUCUAUUAACAGGGACGAAAGAAAUGACGGUACCUGAAUAAGAAGCCCCGGCUAACUACGUGCCAGCAGCCGCGGUAAUACGUAGGGGGCAAGCGUUAUCCGGAAUUACUGGGUGUAAAGGGUGCGCAGGCGGCCUGUUAAGUCAGCGGUAAAAGCCCGGGGCUCAACCCCGGCGAGCCGUUGAAACUGGCGGGCUGGAGUUGGAGAGAAGUACGCGGAAUGCGCGGUGUAGCGGUGAAAUGCUUAGAUAUCGCGCAGAACCCCGAUUGCGAAGGCAGCGUACCGGCUCCACACUGACGCUGAGGCACGAAAGCGUGGGUAUCGAACAGGAUUAGAUACCCGUGUAGUC